rnacentral:rRNA from 1 species
GGAUGAACGCUAGCGGGAGGCCUAACACAUGCAAGCCGAGCGGGAUUUGUUGGUUAGCUUGCUAACUAAYAAUGAGAGCGGCGUACGGGUGCGUAACACGUGUGCAACCUGGCCUUUAUCUGGGGGAUAGCCUUUCGAAAGGAAGAUUAAUACCCCAUAAUAUAUUGAUUGGCAUCAGUUAAUAUUGAAAGCUSMGGCGGAUAGAGAUGGGCACGCGUAAGAUUAGCUAGUUGGUGAGGUAACGGCUCACCAAGGCUGCGAUCUUUAGGGGGCCUGAGAGGGUGAUCCCCCACACUGGUACUGAGACACGGACCAGACUCCUACGGGAGGCAGCAGUGAGGAAUAUUGGACAAUGGGUGAGAGCCUGAUCCAGCCAUCCCGCGUGAAGGACUAAGGACCUAUGGUUUGUAAACUUCUUUUAUACAGGGAUAAACCUACUCUCGUGAGGGUAGCUGAAGGUACUGUAUGAAUAAGCACCGGCUAACUCCGU